AGUGAACGCUGGCGGUAGGCCUAACACAUGCAAGUCGAACGGCAGCACAGUAAGAGCUUGCUCUUACGGGUGGCGAGUGGCGGACGGGUGAGGACUACAUCGGAAUCUACUUUUUCGUGGAGGAUAACGUAGGGAAACUUACGCUAAUACCGCAUACGACCUACGGGUGAAAGCAGGGGAUCUUCGGACCUUGCGCGAUUGAAUGGGCCGAUGUCGGAUUAGCUAGUUGGCGGGGUAAAGGCCCACCAAGGCGACGAUCCGUAGCUGGUCUGAGAGGAUGAUCAGCCACACUGGAACUGAGACACGGUCCAGACUCCUACGGGAGGCAGCAGUGGGGAAUAUUGGACAAUGGGCGCAAGCCUGAUCCAGCCAUACCGCGUGGGUGAAGAAGGCCUUCGGGUUGUAAAGCCCUUUUGUUGGGAAAGAAAAGCAGCAGGUUAAUACCCCGCUGUUCUGACGGUACCCAAAGAAUAAGCACCGGCUAACUUCGUG
rnacentral:rRNA from 1 species